AUUGAACGCUGGCGGCAGGCCUAACACAUGCAAGUCGAACGAGUGGCGGACGGGUGAGUAAUGUCUGGGAAACUGCCCGAUGGAGGGGGAUAACUACUGGAAACGGUAGCUAAUAACGCAUACCAUCGGAGGUGCCCAGAGGGGAUUAGCUAGUAGGUGGGGUAACGGCUCACCUAGGCGACGAUCCCUAGCUGGUCUGAGAGGAUGACCAGCCACACUGGAACUGAGACACGGUCCAGACUCGUACGGGAGGCAGCAGUGGGGAAUAUUGCACAAUGGGCGCAAGCCUGAUGCAGCCAUGCCGUGUGUAUGAAGAAGGCCUUCGGGUUGUAAAGUACUUUCAGCGGGGAGGCGUUACUCGCAGAAGAAGCACCGGCUAACUCCGUGCCAGCAACCGCGGUAAUAC
rnacentral:rRNA from 1 species